CUGGGUUCGAUCCUCAGCACCACAUAAAAAUAAAUCAAUAAAGCUAUUGAGUCCCACUACAACUAAAUAAAUAUUAAAUAAUAAUAAUAAAUAAAUAUUAAAAAAUUAAUUAAUUGAAUUGCUCUGAAAACACAAAUAUGAGUAUCUCACUUCCUUUCUUGAAGCUCUUCAGUGGCUCCCAGUUGCUGUCAGGGUAAAAUGCGACAUCAUCGAUGUGUCUUUAAUGUGACUUGGAGGAAGCAUCAAGUAUGAACCCCAGCCCACAGGUGCCAUGCGUUUGAGCCCUCCCCACCCUGGAGUUCAGCUUGCCAGUGCCUUGGCUCCGAAGCCCUUGCUCAGACCUGGGUUUCCUUGGUUUACGUGCCUUCUCAUAGGUUUUGUUAAGCGAAAUUUGAUUCCAGAGGGAAAGAAUGUCAGACCUCUAAUGCUCUGCACCAGUUUUUAAAGAAAUUAAGGUUUUUAGAAAUAACAAGAGAGUGCUGACAUACGCC
rnacentral:lncRNA from 1 species